UGGGGAAUCUUGGACAAUGGGGGCAACCCUGAUCCAGCCAUGCCGCGUGGGUGAAGAAGGCCUUAGGGUUGUAAAGCCCUUUCAGUCGUGACGAUGAUGACGGUAGCGACAGAAGGAGCCCCGGCUAACUCCGUGCCAGCAGCCGCGGUAAUACGGAGGGGGCAAGCGUUGUUCGGAUUUACUGGGCGUAAAGGGCGCGUAGGCGGACGAUCAAGUCAGAGGUGAAAGGCCCGGGCUCAACCUGGGACGUGCCUUUGAAUCUGAUUGUCUUGAGUGCGGGAGAGGAUGGCGGAAUUCCCAGUGUAGAGGUGAAAUUCGUAGAUAUUGGGAAGAACACCGGUGGCGAAGGCGGCCAUCUGGACCGGCACUGACGCUGAGGCGCGAAAGCGUGGGGAGCAAACAGGAUUAGAUACCCGCGUAGUCC
rnacentral:rRNA from 1 species